rnacentral:rRNA from 1 species
UGGGGAAUUUUGGACAAUGGGCGAAAGCCUGAUCCAGCAAUGCCGCGUGUGUGAAGAAGGCCUUCGGGUUGUAAAGCACUUUUGUCCGGAAAGAAAUCCUUGGUCUAAUACAGUCGGGGGAUGACGGUACCGGAAGAAUAAGCACCGGCUAACUACGUGCCAGCAGCCGCGGUAAUACGUAGGGUGCAAGCGUUAAUCGGAAUUACUGGGCGUAAAGCGUGCGCAGGCGGUUUGCUAAGACCGAUGUGAAAUCCCCGGGCUCAACCUGGGAACUGCAUUGGUGACUGGCAGGCUAGAGUAUGGCAGAGGGGGGUAGAAUUCCACGUGUAGCAGUGAAAUGCGUAGAGAUGUGGAGGAAUACCGAUGGCGAAGGCAGCCCCCUGGGCCAAUACUGACGCUCAUGCACGAAAGCGUGGGGAGCAAACAGGAUUAGAUACCCCUGGUAGUCCACGCCCUAAAACGAUGUCAACUAGUUGUUGGGGAUUCAUUUCCUUAGUAACGUAGCUAACGCGUGAAGUUGACCGCCUGGGGGAGUACGGUCGCAAGAUUAAAACUCAAAUGAAUUGACGGGGUCAUAGCUG